AGUGCAAACCGCUUCAUCGCUCUCCUCCCAACAUUGUUGGCGGGGAGGGAGGAAAGUCCGGGCAGCACAGAGCGCCUCACCCCGUGAAAACGGGGGUGCCGGUGAGGCAACGAUCCGGUAACAGAAAGUGCCACAGAAACGAUACCGUCCCGAAAUGCUUCGGGAUAAGGGUGAAAACGCGAGGUAAGAGCUCACGUCGCGGUGGGGUAACCUGCCGGGAGGGUAAACCUUGAGGGCUGUAAGACCAUGUAAACCCGGGAUUGAGGGCUGCUCGUCCGAUCCGGGAGGGUAGGUCGCUUAGAUAAAUGAUGAAGGUCUUCUUCGGGAGAUACAGAACCCGGCUUACAGGUUUGCUAUCUGA
rnacentral:RNase_P_RNA from 1 species